rnacentral:tRNA from 1 species
GCGGGCUUGGCCGAGUGUUCAGGCACCAGCCUUCCAAGCUGAGUACACCGGUUCGAUCCCGGUAGCCCGCUCCA